CAGUAGCCACGGGAAAACGUAGGGCGCAAGCGUUGUCCGGAAUUAUUGGGCGUAAAGAGCUCGUAGGCGGUCUGUCGCGUCUGGUGUGAAAUCCCGAGGCUCAACCUCGGGCUUGCAUCGGGUACGGGCAGACUAGAGUGCGGUAGGGGAGACUGGAAUUCCUGGUGUAGCGGUGGAAUGCGCAGAUAUCAGGAGGAACACCGAUGGCGAAGGCAGGUCUCUGGGCCGCAACUGACGCUGAGGAGCGAAAGCAUGGGGAGCGAACAGGAUUAGAUACCCCCGUAGUCCCUGUCUCUUAUAC
rnacentral:rRNA from 1 species